rnacentral:ncRNA from 1 species
AUAAGUGUUGGGUGGAGAUGCACAGCCAUCGGAUUGCGUAGCAAAAGCUUUCACAGACGCGUCAUUCCGUCCGCUACCAUGGCUGAUUCCUCCUCCCUGACCGCAGCUGCUGUUCCGACAGUUAGCAGGAGACGUCGUCGCGACGCCGGCCCAACUGGCCCCACAUCGCUAGACACUGGAAUGCCUUACGACCAUUCCUGACGCACCUGACACCGACCGUGAGAGUCGUGUGUGCCGAACGCCGUUUCCGGGAGCCCGGAAACCGA